AGCGAACGCUGGCGGCGUGCUUAACACAUGCAAGUCGAGUGCGCGGUUCGUAGCAAUACGAACUGGCGCACGGCGCACGGGUGAGGAACACGUGGGCAACAUGCCCUCCGAUGGGGAAUAACCCGCCGAAAGGCGGGCUAAUACCGCAUACGAUUCCGGGGACCUCAGUUCCUGGACUGAAAGCCCGCAAGGGCGUCGGUGGAGUGGCCCGCGGCCGAUUAGCUUGUUGGCGGGGUAACGGCCCACCAAGGCAAUGAUCGGUAGCCGGUCUGAGAGGAUGAUCGGCCACACUGGAACUGAGACACGGUCCAGACUCCUACGGGAGGCAGCAGUGGGGAAUCUUGCGCAAUGGGCGAAAGCCUGACGCAGCGAC
rnacentral:rRNA from 1 species